rnacentral:rRNA from 1 species
AAUCAACGCUGGCGGCGUGCCUAACACAUGCAAGUCGAGCGGGAAAGGGGGCUUCGGCCCCUGAGUAUAGCGGCGGACGGGUGAGUAACACGUGGGUAAUUUGCCCUUGGGUGUGGAAUAACUCAGGGAAACUUGAGCUAAUACCGCAUGACAUCCCCUUCACACACGAGUCGGGGAUCAAAGCCGGGGACCCUUCGGGGCCUGGCGCCUGAGGAGAAGCCCGCGCCCGAUUAGCUAGUUGGGAGGUAAUGGCUCACCAAGGCUUCGAUCGGUAGCCGGCCUGAGAGGGCGGACGGCCACACUGGGACUGAGACACGGCCCAGACUCCUACGGGAGGCAGCAGUGGGGAAUUUUGUCAAUGGGGGAAACCCUGAACAAGCAACG